GUAGUCCACGCUGUAAACGAUGAAUGUUAAAUAUGGGAAGUUUUACUUUCUGUAUUACAGCUAACGCGUUAAACAUUCCGCCUGGGGACUACGGUCGCAAGAUUAAAACUCAAAGGAAUUGACGGGGACCCGCACAAGCGGUGGAGCAUGUGGUUUAAUUCGAUGCAACGCGAAAAACCUUACCACUCCUUGACAUGGGAAUUAUACCUAUUCGAAGGGAUAGGGUCGGUUCGGCCGGGUUUCACACAGGUGUUGCAUGGCUGUCGUCAGCUCGUGUCGUGAGAUGUUGGGUUAAGUCCCGCAACGAGCGCAACCCUCAUCCUUAGUUACCAUCAGGUAAUGCUGGGGACUUUAAGGAAACUGCCAGUGAUAAACUGGA
rnacentral:rRNA from 1 species